UUAGAACGUCGUGAGACAGUUCGGUCCCUAUCUGCCGUGGGCGCUGGAGAACUGAGGGGGGCUGCUCCUAGUACGAGAGGACCGGAGUGGACGCAUCACUGGUGUUCGGGUUGUCAUGCCAAUGGCAUGCCCGGUAGCUAAAUGCGGAAGAGAUAAGUGCUGAAAGCAUCUAAGCACGAAACUUGCCCCGAGAUGAGUUCUCCCUGACUCCUUGAGAGUCCUGAAGGAACGUUGAAGACGACGACGUUGAUAGG
rnacentral:rRNA from 1 species